UGGGCUUCUCGAUUUUAGCGU
rnacentral:piRNA from 1 species